GAUGAACGCUGGCGGCGUGCCUAAUACAUGCAAGUCGAGCGAACAGACGAGGAGCUUGCUCCUCUGACGUUAGCGGCGGACGGGUGAGUAACACGUGGAUAACCUACCUAUAAGACUGGGAUAACUUCGGGAAACCGGAGCUAAUACCGGAUAAUAUAUUGAACCGCAUGGUUCAAUAGUGAAAGACGGUUUUGCUGUCACUUAUAGAUGGUUCCGCGCCGCAUUAGCUAGUUGGUAAGGUAACGGCUUACCAAGGCAACGAUGCGUAGCCGACCUGAGAGGGUGAUCGGCCACACUGGAACUGAGACACGGUCCAGACUCCUACGGGAGGCAGCAGUAGGGAAUCGUCCGCAAUGGGCGAAAGCUUGACGGAGCAACGCCGCGUGAGUGAUGAAAGUCUUCGGAUCGUAAAACUCUGUUAUUAGGGAAGAACAAAUGUGUAAGUAACUAUGCACGUCUUGACGGUACCUAAUCAGAAAGCCACGGCUAACUACGUG
rnacentral:rRNA from 1 species